AGAGAAGCUGUGUUUCUCUUAGGAGUGGCGGGGAUAUGAGGCCGGCCCGUGGCAGCUGGAGGGGACGCAGGGUCAGUCCGCGGCAGUUGGAGGGGACUUGACCUCAGCCUGUGGCAGUUGGUGGCCGUCUUGCUCCCAUCAAGGUAGAGCCGCCUGCGUGAGGAUGACACCAGUAAGCAGAACCCAGAGGCGGGGAGAGACCGUUCCUGCUGACGUCCCUGAGCUCCAGGUGCAGCCCUGCCGGAAGCCGUCAAUCUGUGGACUUAGUUACGCUGUUGGCUGCAUGAGAAUGGAGACCAGGUGUCUGGAGCCCGCCCAGCACACAGUAAGGCCUCAGUGAACGUGCACUGGGUGUGUGGACGCUGAGGCCACGGACAAGAACAUUCCAGGCAGUGAUGAAGCUGCGAUGAAGGCUCCUGUCCGUCUGUCUGUCCGCAGCUCCGGGCUCCUCCGUCUCCUGCCCUCCCCAUGCUCCCUGCGUGGUGCGUCCUCCCCCUCCUCCGACACUGAAGAAGAAAUCUGAAGGUCAUCAUAGAGGACACUCCAGUGGCCUGGGGCACAGUGCUCCUCAGACUUCUUGCCCAUGGGUGGGCUCUGCGCAGGAGGGGUUGGCUUCUCAGCAGCAGACAAAGAGGGAGAUGUCAUGUAUGUGCAGCUCCACCAGGCUUUGCCUACUCUCCUGAAGAGCAUCCUGAGAGGCUGGCCUGGAACAUGUUUGACGGGUGGAGGCUGGACUCUGGUGUAGGCCUGGAGAGUAUUCAGUGUCUUGCAGGCCCUGUGAUGGUGAAAUGAGUUUUGAUGGCCAAUUUUGAAGGAUGCCUUGCAAUUGAAAACUGGCUCUUCUAACUUCAAGGAUUCAGCUUAUGGCACGGUAUGGCUAAAAUGACUUUCAUUUCCCCUGCCAACAUACUCUAUUCUUCCCAGAGAGGCAAGGAAGAAUGCAGAAUGAAAGAAACGGAGGAAAAUGGCAUCUGAAAGGUCCACUAAAUGACCCCAUUGGUCAGAAGGGAAUGGGAACAAUUUCCUCACACAAAAGGGGAUAGGGAGACCAAUCAGGGUUACUCAGGAGGGAAAGAGGGUAGGAACCAGGAGGGACUCACCCUCACAGAUUUGCAGGAUUCUGUCACUUCCUUUCAUUGCUGCUGCUGUCCCCCUUGGGGGUCUCCUGGGAAAUCUCCACCCCUCCCCUCCCCCAGCUACCCCUCAGGGGCACUGGUCCCCGCCCACGCCCUCAGGACCCAUGUGACCAGAGGGGGCCUAGGAAGGCAGAGGAUAAGGCCCAGGACCUCAGCAGGCUCCCCAGGGCCCAAGUGGGUGGGGAACAUGCUAGCUGCUUUCCCUUUCAUUCCUCCAAUCUCCUGAGGGUCUCUCCCUAUCCCCGUUGCUCCCCUCAUUGUGGGUGGGCCCCUCCAGGUAUGGGUACCCUUCCCCUCCCCCAGCUUCCCUUCAUGAGUACUGGUCCCAUCCUGCCUCCACUUCUCCUUUCCCCUCCCUCCCCCCCAUGUCCUACCUGGUCACUCCAGGGUUCCUCCCAUCCCAUUAGGUGUCUGUGGUUCCCCACCAGUGCUUGGUAGGUGCCCUAAUUGUUGGGAGACAUGAACUCUGUGCCCUCCAACCCUGCCAUCUUGACUCUGCUCCUAUAUCACAUUGUUUUGAUUCCUGUAGCUUUGUAGUAGUAUCUGAAGUCUGGAAGGGUUUAUGGUUCCUCCUUUGUUCUUUUUCCUCAGGUUGCUUUGUCAACUCUCAGUCUUUUAUGGUUCUGUAUAAAU